UACAUGUUGUGAUUGUUGGCC
rnacentral:siRNA from 1 species